UACGUAGGGUGCGAGCGUUAAUCGGAAUUACUGGGCGUAAAGCGUGCGCAGGCGGUUUUGUAAGCCAGAUGUGAAAGCCCCGGGCUCAACCUGGGAAUGGCAUUUGGGACUGCAAGGCUUGAGUGCGGCAGAGGAGACUGGAAUUCCUGGUGUAGCAGUGAAAUGCGUAGAGAUGUGGAGGAACACCAGUGGCGAAGGCAGCCUUCUGGGCCAACACUGACGCUCAUGCACGAAAGCGUGGGGAGCAAACAGG
rnacentral:rRNA from 1 species